CCCUUGCUCAGCCCUGGCCGGUAAGGUGCCAGGGUAGAGCUAGGCAAAUUGUCCUCGGCCCUGCACUCACCCAAAUCCUUUAUUACCAUCUUUGGGGCAUGGACAGUUGCUAAAGUCAGGAGACUUGAACUGAUUACCUACUGUAUGCCAGGUCCAUUCUAGGAGCUGUUUCAGGGUCCUGGGGGUGAGGGGAACAAGGGCCCCAGGACUCAGCGGAGGCCCAGUGCUGUCCGACCCCAGAGCUCUACCCCACCAACCCCGUGUCUUCUGCUGACAGCUCCUCUGAUGAGGACAUCCAGUACCGGCUGGUGACGAGAUUUGUGAAUGAGGCUGUCAUGUGCCUACAAGAAGGGAUCUUGGCCACCCCCGCCGAGGGAGACAUCGGAGCUGUCUUUGGGCUGGGCUUCCCGCCAUGUCUUGGAGGGCCCUUCCGCUUUGUGGACCUCUACGGCGCGCAGAAGAUUGUGGACCGGCUCCGCAAGUAUGAGGCUGUCUAUGGAAAACAGUUCACGCCGUGCCAGCUGCUGACCGACCACGCGGCCAGCCUCAAGAAGUUCUACCCUUGAGUGGCCCUCGGGCCUGUGCUCAGUGAGCGCACUAACAGGGCUGCGGGCGGGCGUCUAGAUGUCAGUUACCGGGGAAAACCAGGUUUGCCCUUUGACUAAAGUGCCUUCAACUGUGACUGUGGCCUGCCCUCUGUGGCCUGUGACUUAGGGGCUGGGAGGCCAACCCUGUACUCGGGACUUUGUAUUAUGUGCCCUGAAGCCCAAGGCGGCGGCGGCUGUGGAGCCAGCUCUGCUGCCCCUUCCUGCCCAGGGGCCUGGGGGGUUGGUAGGGCGGCUCUGCAGCCAGCUGAUCACGAGAACAAUAAAACCCAGACGCUCAGCCUCUC